CCUACGGGUGGCAGCAGUGGGGAAUAUUGCACAAUGGGGGAAACCCUGAUGCAGCGACGUCGCGUGAGUGAUGAAGUAUUUCGGUAUGUAAAGCUCUAUCAGCAGGGAAGAAAAUGACGGUAACUGACUAAGAAGCCUCGGCUAACUACGUGCCAGCAGCCGCGGUAAUACGUAGGGGGCAAGCGUUAUCCGGAUUUACUGGGUGUAAAGGGAGCGUAGACGGCGGUGCAAGCGAGAUGUGAAAGCCCGGGGCUCAACCCCGGGACUGCAUUUGAAACUGUGCUGCUAGAGUGUCGGAGUGGCAGGCGGAAUUCCUAGUGUAGCGGUGAAAUGCGUAGAUAUUAGGAGGAACACCAGUGGCGAAGGCGGGCUGCUGGACGAUGACUGACGUUGAGGCUCGAAAGCGUGGGGAGCAAACAGGAUUAGAUACCCGGGUAGUC
rnacentral:rRNA from 1 species